GCGGUAGUGGGCGGGCUUGUAGGGGCCGUCAACGGGCACGUUGAUGUAGGCAGCCUGGUCGGCCGACAGCUUGGUCAGCUUCACGCCCAGCUUGGGCAGGUGCAGGGCAGCCACCUUCUCGUCCAGGUGCUUGGGCAGCACGUAGACCUUCUUCUCGUAGCGGCCGGUGGAGCGCUCGUUCCAGAGCUCCAGCUGGGCGAUCACCUGGUUGGUGAACGAGCACGACAUGACGAACGAGGGGUGGCCGGUGGCGCAGCCCAGGUUCAGCAGGCGGCCCUCGGCCAGGACAAUCACGCCGUGGCCGUCGGGGAAGAUGAAGCGGUCCACCUGGGGCUUGAUGUUCUGGCGCUUGAUGCCGGGCCAGGCGUACAGGCCGGCCAUGUCCACCUCGUUGUCGAAGUGGCCAAUGUUGCCGACAAUGGCGUUGUUCUUCAUCUUGGCCAUGUGCUCAGCCAUGAUGAUGUCCUUGUUGCCGGUGGUGGUGAUGAAGAUGUCGGCGGUCUCCAGGCAGUCCUCCAGGGGCUGGACCUGUGGGGCGAAGGCAAGGGGGAUGGGGAGGAGCGGGUCAGCGCAUUGCACUUUAACGUAGCAGGACGGGACGAGAUGCGUAUACCAAGUGCGGCACUUGCUGCGAAUGCCGCCACAUACACAAACCUCUACUUUCUUACAUGAAGUGUCCAGGGUUCCCUUUUAAGAAUCGGCGUGAACCCCGUCCUUCCGUCCACUUCCACCUGCCAAUCCCUGCCUACCUGGUAGCCCUCCAUGGCGGCCUGCAGCGCGCAGAUGGGGUCGAUCUCCGACACAAUGGUGCGGGCACCGGCGGCCUUCAUGGCGCUGGCGCAGCCCUUGCCCACAUCACCGUAGCCGGCGAUGAAGGCGGUCUUGCCGGCAAUCAUCACGUCAGUGGCGCGCAUGAUGCCGUCGGGCAGCGAGUGGCGGCAGCCGUACACGUUGUCGAACUUGGACUUGGUGACGGAGUCGUUCACGUUGAUGGCGGGGAACAGCAGGCUGCCGUUAGCCUGCAUCUCAUAGAGGCGCUUCACGCCGGUGGUGGUCUCCUCAGACACGCCCAUCACCUUCUUGGACAUGCUGUGGGAGGGUGGAACGGGCGAGGGUGGAACGAGGAGGUUUAGCAUGGGCGUAGGGCCGGCUGCGGGAGACACGCACAAGCACUACAGACACUUGAGUCUCAAACUGGAGGUCUUCCUUAUUGUACAUUUGCAUCCACGCUCCCAUGCUGCUCAUGCAUCGCACAGCUUGGUCCGAGGAUCCAUCCAUAUCUGCUAAGACUGACUUCUUGCUUCUGCGACUCACCGGGUCCACUUGGUGGCGUCCUUCUGGAUGGAGUCGCGGAUCAGGCCCAGCACAAUCUUGAACUCGGCGUUGUCGGUCGAGUCGGGGUUGGGCAGGGUGCCGUCCUUAGCGUACUGCUCCUCAGCCUUCAGGCCCUCUGUGAUAGGAGGGAACAGGAGAGGGAGGAGGGAGCAGGGAAGGGUGAGCGAUAGAUUGAGAAUGGGAUGAAGCAGCAUGGUGCAGACAGGGCCAUGCAGUAGCACAGCUUCCAUCAGACCGUACAGGCUGCCGCUUGUAGCAGCCAGGGCAGGAGGACAGGCGCUUCAAAGGGGCCAACGCCACGCGAGGAUGACACGCACCGUGGAUGAGCAGGGUGGCGUCACCACCGUCGUCCACCAGCAGGUCGGGGCCGUCGCAGCCAGCCCAGGUCAGGGCCUGCUCGGUGCACCACCAGUACUCCUCCAGGGUCUCGCCCUUCCAGGCGAACACGGCGGCGGAGUCGCGGGCGAUGGCGGCAGCGGCGUGGUCCUGGGUGGAGAAGAUGUUGCACGAGCACCAGCGGACCUCAGCGCCCAGGGCGGUCAGGGUCUCAAUCAGCACGGCGGUCUGGAUGGUCAUGUGCAGAGAGCCGGUAAUCUUGGCACCCUUGAAGGGCUGGGCGGGGCCGAACUCGGAGCGGCACGCCAUCAGACCGGGCAUCUCAGCCUCGGCCAGGUCGAUCUCCAGGCGACCGAAGUCAGCCUCGGCGAUGUCCUUCACCUUGUACUGUGGGUGGGAAAGAAUAAUAGCGGGCACGCGAGGUAAAUUGGCAGCUUCCAGCAAGCAGAUCAGUUGCCGGCGGAGAAGCGCGCGCGAAGUGACCCCAGCGUAGACCACCAAUUCAGAGUAAGCGAAGCAGUGCCGCUUGUGCAAUUGAGCACUUGCAACCCAGAAAUGCCCCGGUUGCCGGUGGGAGCGAAUAUGAUCGAGUGCUCAACAAACACAAGCCCGGACAACGGGCACUCGAGCGCACAGCGCUCCAAGUAGCUACUUCUUAUGCGCCUAUAUGCAUCUAGCUUGGGAAAGGCUAUGCGGCGGCCGGUGCCGAGGAUCUUUGCGCACCUCGCGGCCAUUGACGUGGUCGACGGAGAGGGCCAUCUUGACUGGUGUAGUAGGUGCUGUGCCUAAAGCAACAACAACCUGAAGUAAGAUGGGAAAAAGGUAAGGCAUGCAGGUGAGCGGGGACUGCUAAAUGAAGGGCGGGUUGUCCCAUUGCGCCGUACAAUGUGGUGACGGGUAUUUCCUGUGUUGUCUGUGGACCGGUUAUUGUGCUGCGGAGUUGACGACGUGUCGUGGUAGCAUGUAAGAGGCCAGCGCGCGGUGACGAAAAUCACCGUGAGAAGAGAAGAGAAUGAGCGACCGCUUCAUGUGAACCACUCGAUUAGCGCGCGCCGCUUUGCAUUGCACUUUUGUUUCCGGUCGCGGUUGGACUGGUAGCUGCGCUCAAUAUCUAUUAGAUUAGAAACGUUGGAGGCGCUUGGGAGGCUCGUCGGCGACGCGGCGGGUGGUUGCGGGGGCGCGGUUUGGCGGGAAGUGGCUUCCCAAGGGCCUGGCUUGUGCGUGUGUGGCUGCGAUUUGAGCUGCGUGCCAGUGGAGCUCUCACCGAAUUGCCGGUCCAGUUGCGCAGCGCAGCGCUGCAUCUUGAACUGUCUUGUGGUGAGGGCAAGGGGCAGGGGCGCUGCAGGGCCCUGCCUGGAGCAUCAGCGUCGCCCUUUCCCCGGCAUCCCUUUCGUCAUGGGACCUCUCGGGAACGCCUCGGUACUGCUCAGGGCUAUGGGGUACUGGCAGCCCUGUCAUGCGGUGCCCCACACGCUGGCGGCCGCAACCGCUGCCAGCGACUCCGCUGGUGGGCGGCGGCGCCGCCGGAGUGGGUGCACCGGGUGGCUCGGGCCAGGGCUGCGGCUGAGCGCCUGCGCAGGCGGGCUGUGGAGCCGGCUGCGCCGCUGAUCGAGCUAGCGUGCAUUGCGUGCAAAUCACGACAGGCGCACUGUUCCGCAUGGGUCGGCAGCCGGGCGCACGGCCAGCCUUUCAGGCAGGGGAGGCUGCGGCACGGUCUGGCGCAUGCAGAGUUGUGUUCGUGAACAUCAGGUGCCCGGGAGUCGCCCCUGAUGUAGAUUCGUGUGCAUGAAGCAUCCUUGCAUGCGUGUAGUAGUUACCGCGGGUAUUGCGUGCGGCUGUACUAGGGGGCACAAGGACAGACAAACGACACGCAUGAAUCCGCGGGCUGUAUGUGUGACUGGUGCAGCUACAGCCUGCGCGUUUCCAUUCUUUCUGUGUAAUCUGCCCCAGGCUAUGGCCCCACGCUGGCGCACCACGAAUGCAUGAGGCACGACGAAAGCAUGGGUUACACCUUGCGCAUGUGCGCAAAGCCAGCCCACUCUCCUCAGCUCUCAACCGUCUCAACGCCCAAACACAAUCACACUCGGCGCCCCAUCAUAGGCGCCCUGACGGCCGCACGCCAAUCCUGGUCUCUUCGGCCGUGGCCGCACACCACCCUUCGCAAACUGCACCUGUCAGGAAAGACGUGCACUCGCUACCUUGUGCUUGUGAUCCCUCCCAGCCCUGCCACCCUGUUCCUUCAGUCUGAUCCCUCAACCUCGGCCCGCCACCCCCGUUCUCCUCUGACGACAGCUCAUCAAGCGUGCCCAGUGGCGGGCUUGUCGUGUGCCUUGUCCUUGUGGUGCUCAAUCUUCUCCUGAAUCUUGUGCUUGGCGUCCUUCAGCGAUUUUUUGAUGUCAUCUGCAAAGAGCCGCACACACAGGUGCACAGAAAUCAAGGUGCAGCCGUGAAGGCCCAUCCCCUUCGCGCAUCCCUGGGUCGCGGUAGCCGUAAUUGAGACGAUACAUAAAAUUACAUCCGCCACCCACCCACAGCAGCAGCAGUUCCCCCAUGCUCCCGCCCGCUGCUGCCGUACGCAUCCCCAAUGCCCCAGGGCCCCACUUACCGCGGCGCUUGAAGAUGAACCAGCCCAGGGUGCCGACGGCGGCAGUGCCCAGCGCAACGAUGCCGCCAAUGAUAAGGUUGCGGCGGAGGUCCUCGUCCGUCUGCAGCCGGUUGCGCACACGGCGCGUCCCGGUCUGCGGGGGGCGGGGGGGGGCGGCAGCAGACAUGUGGGGCGUGCGGGAUCACACGGCGAUUGCUAGGGCACAGACAAGGCAGAGCGCCGUGCGGGGAGGCAGCAGCGGGAAGGGCUAGCUGCCGGCACCCAGGGAAGUGCGGGGGCGACGUGCUGUUCGUAGCAUUGCUGCUCGAUUGUGUUCUAGCACGCACAGCGGCAGCUUCGCAGGGCUACGGUUGAGCCGUCCUCGGCCACACGCGGCCAUCCUGAACCACGCAAGGCUAGCGUUGGACGCGCGCAGCUUCCGGCAAAUGCGCUCCUCACCCGCUCAACGCCUACUCCUGCCACCGGUCCCGCGGCCGGCCGCGCCUUUCUGCUCGACCCGCCGCGGGCCCCGCCGCACGGUGCUCACCUUGGCGCAGUUGGCAGUGUCCUCACCAGCCUUCUCGGCCCUGUGCGUGAGAGAGCGAGUCAUGGUGACGGCGCGAGGACGCUGACGACCACCGGACGGCUACGUGGGAGUUUUGCAGCGGCUGUGUUGUUCUGCGCUGUUUUGGGCGCGGUGUGCAAACUGCUUGUGGGCAGAAAUAAGUUACGGGCUAGGCUCCAAGCACAGAAGCGGCAUCAGAGUUCACCGGAAUGGGGGCCAAUCAAAAUGCCCCCUAGGCAGCGGCAAUUUACGCUCGGAACUAGGUCUGGCAUGCGGCUGCGACAUGAGCCGAGCAAUGCAAAUGAGGCGGCACGUGAGGCUCCAAAGGAGGCUCGGCGGCUCGCAGCAGAGCGCGCUCGACCCGCGGGCCGCAGUGGCACGAACAUCGACCGCUCCCGCACUUUUACAGCGGGGCUGCCGCUUGCCCGUGCGUGUCCGAAGGCCCCCAAUAUGUACACGCCCCGGGGACCUAAACGUACCAGGCCGGGUAGGGGGCCCGAAGCCACCGCCAAUCUGGCACGCCACGCGCUCCCAUCCGUUCUCCCAACGUUGUAUGUCGCCUUCAUCACACACCCCGAGCACCACCACACAUGCUGCACGCUACAUUGUAAAUCGGUCUGUGGCCUCAUGCUGUCACUAUGUGUCGCCACCAUGCUGUAUGUUGGUGAAAAGAAAUCGAGGAUGCGGCCACUGCGCUCCGGAAGCCCCUCCUCCUCCUCCUCCCCCUUCGCACGACGCCCACUGCCCAACAACUGGCCAACCAAGCGCAUACUAGCCAUGCUGCACGACCGCCUCCUCCCGCUCACUACGCAGACCUACGCAGCACCAGCCAUUGCCGCCGCGCCCAUCACCUCCCCCCCCGCCUACCGCAUCACAUCACACCGCACCGGACUGCUCUGCGCUGCUUUACACGUAGCGCUUGGCGCCUGGCCGCUGCGACUCCUUGAUGCGCUCCUCCUCGAUCUUCUUCUUCACCGCCGCCUGGUCCACAACCACCUGUUGCAGUGCAGCAACGGCAGCAGGGGUGAGUCAAGGGCAGCGUCACAGCACACAGAUCCUCAGCUAGGGAACGGGAGCUGGAGCAUGCAGGACACGGGAAAGCGCACCGCUGAACACCCGAACAGCGCUCUUUCGCAGGCACCGUCCCAGCACCCCUCCUCCCGGGUCCGAGGGGCCACAACUCACCGACUCGUUCAUCUGCAUGAAGCGCGUGAUGGACUCGGCGAGCUUGGCGUUCUUGAGGAACUGCUGGCGGUACCACAGCACCGUGUCCUGGUGCUGCUUGUGCUGCGUGGCCAGGUCCAGCGCGCGCUCCCAGUUGAACAGCUUGAUGUUCAGCUUGAUGGCGCGGAAGACCAGGCCGGCCUGGGCGCGGUGGGUGACAGGGGGGAAGGGAAGAGGGAGGGAGGGAAGAGGUGAGGGAUGAGGAAGGGGUGAGGAAGGGGAGGGCAUGGGAGGGAGGGCGAGAGCGACAAGUUGGGGCCCAGACCCUUACGGCCGUCUCACAUCCCAGUCACACCACCCCUACACCGCAGUACCCACCAGCCCCUCGGGUAUCGCAGCACGAUCCCACACCACCCGAAAGCAUCACCCCACAUCACCCUCACCCCCAUCCCCCCACCCCCACCGCCACCAAGCCCACCAAGCGCACGCACCUGCAGCAGUAUGGACUCGCCCUCCUCGGGCUUGCGCCGGUACACCGCCAGCUCGGCGUUGCGGCCCUCCUCCGUGGGGAUCUGCUUCACCUUGCGCACAAAGUGCGUCUUGUCCACCUCGUCAAUCGCCGCGAACGCCACCUCCGCCGUGUUCAGCUCCUUAGCCGCCAUGGCCAUCGCCGCCAGCGUGGCCCACAUGGUGGGGUCCUUGAUGAAGCGACACAGCCGCGUGGCCUUGUCCCACUGCUGCUUGCGGAUCAUGUCGUACAGUACGGCAGGGUAGGGCGAGGUGGCGGCGGAGACCAGCACGCCGUCGGAGCGGCGCACCAGGCAGCGGUUGCCGGCGAAGAGCUGGAUCUGGGCCGACUUGCCAAAGUCCGAGUCGGACUUGGUGUAGCGCGUCUUGGCCAGCAGGUCCUUGUCCACGUACACCUCGCUGGGGUAGUACCACACACACUGCGGGGGCGGGGGGGAAUGGGGUCAGGGGGUGUCAAGAGUGGAGUGACAGCUCCGUGGGGCGCUGCGAGGCGGAGCGCAGUGGUGACUUGCACAGCUGAGAAGGAGAGCGCAAGCGCCGCAAGCCCGACCCACAUCUUGGCGCCCAUCCCUUUCUCCUCUCCGUUACCCGCCAGCAGCCCCCCUCAAAACUCAUCCUGCACCACCACGCCCUCCAACCCCCCUCCCCCAUAUGCGCCACGCUCUCCUCCUCGCUCUUUCGCAUACGGCUCGGUUCAGCUGGGCUCGCAUCUACACCCCCCCGAUCUCCCCAAACCCCAUCAUUGGUUUAGUUUGGGCUGGUAUUUACAACCCCCCAUCUCCCCCCGCCGCCCCCCCCCUAAGCACACGCACCAGGCGCUGGUCCACCAUGGCGGACAGCAUGGCGGUGCUGUCGUGCCAGCGCGCCGAGUCGCACAUGGCCGCCAGCUUGGCCACGUGGCGCUUCAUGACGGGCAGCAGGUACAGGUCGCGGUUGCGGUCGAUGACGAUGAGCUGGCGGUCGUUGAUGGUGCCGGCCUGGCUCAGCGCGAUCUCCUUCACCUCCAACGUGUGCUGCCACGGCUCGCCCACUGGCCGGCCCUGAGGGAGGGGAGGGGAGGGGAUCAUGGCGGGAAGCGAGUGAGCAAGGCGUGUUUGUGGAGCGGCUGGUUAGAGGCAGGCCAGCUUCUGGUGGGCAGGCACGAGAGCCAUGCCCGCACCCGCGCCCCGGGCAGCGUAGACCCUGCCUUCCCCCCCCCCCGUGCAUGACCGAUUCAUGAAGCCCUCCGGAUCCGCUUGCCCGCCGCCGCACCUGCGCCGUGUCGAAGAAGCGCACGGUGGUGCCGCUGGCCUGCUGGUCCAGCACCGCUAUCGUGUCGUUGGACAGCGUGAUCAUCUGCGCGUUCAGCAGCUCGGUGCGCAGGCCCUGGAAGCGCGGGUUGCAGAUCUGGCGGCCCUCGUAGGUGUAGAUCUGGAUGCCCGCCGAGUUGUCCAGCAGCAGGAAGUGCCGCUCAGCCUGUGCGGGUGGGCGUGUGUGUUGGAGUAAGAGGUAGAAAGAGGGGGGAUGUGUGUGCUAAAGGAAAGCGCACCGGGAAAGGGCCGACACUGGGAGGGUGAGUGCGUGCGCGUGCGGGCCAGCCGUGUUGUUGCAGCCCGCCCCCCAGCCAACCCCCGUCCGUUCUCCAUGAACGGCCAAUCCCCCCUUCACGGUGACUACUGGAACCUAUUUCGUUGGCCUCGGGCAUACACCCCCGCCCUCCUGCACCCCGCAGUCGCACACCUGCAGCAGCAGGGUGACCGUGUCUUUGAGGUCAAAGAUGUGCGGCGUGCCCAGGUUGGUGGUGUUGUACACGUGGCACUGCGUCGCGGUGGCCACGAUCAGGUAGCCGUACCCUGCGGCACACGUGGCGGAGCGGCACCGGGUUAGGGCGCGGUACCUAGCUGUGCCUAAACAACGCAAACCACCCACCCAGCCUUCACGCCCAUCCUCGUUCUCCCUUGCAAUCAUCCCCUUGCAAUCACGCCGACGCAUCCACGUCACAAGCACCGGCCACUGGCCCCUUGUCCGCCCGCCCUCGCUCCCCCCCGCCCUCACCUAGCGACACCUUGAUGACGCGGUCACGGAACUCGGGCAGCUCGUCCGCGUUCUCGUUCAAGAUGUCGUUCACCACAAUGCGCAUGUCGUCCACCACCGUCACCUGAGCACACACGGCAGGGCCACCAUGAAUGCAUGCUCCCCUGUGUGCUCACGACAAACUGCACCUGCACAGGCGCCCUGGCCGGGCCCCGCCUUGACCCCCAUCGGCUGCUGGCAUGCCCUUUCCUGCUCUCCACAUAGCACACACAGCGCACAAAACAACCCCCCCUAGUUGCGCUUGGACAGUCACCUGCCCUCCAUUCGCCCCCACGCCCUGCAACCCCGCACCAUCACACCCCGCCUACGCUCCUUUCCCUGCUCGCCCAUUUCCAUCCCCUUUCUUCCCCUUCUGCCCCCUCCCCCCGUCCCUCUCCGCCUUUUUUUCACCUGCCCCUCCUUGACCACAUGGCCUAACGGCGAAGGUACAGAUUCCGGCAAUCCCCAGUGUACCCCAGGGGAGCACUUGGGCUGUCAUUACGGGUUUGGGUCUAGCAACCCCCCUCCCCGCCCCUCCCCUCCCCGCCCCCCUCCCCCCACCUGCAUCUUGCCGUCCUCCAGCGCCAGGUCCACCACCUGGCCGAACACCACGCCGCCGCUGCCGCCGCCGCCCGCCAGCUGCGUGCUGUCCGCCGUCCAGCUCAGAGUCAUGAUGCUGCCCGUGUCGUUGAGGUGGAUCUGUGAAGGGGGGGCGGGCGGGGUGAGGGUGUGGUGGCGGGAGCUGUUAGGGGAGGGGAGGCAGGCAGGCAUACGCGCUCGCUGGCCGCGCUGACCACGAGUACUUCCUGUUGCGUGUGCAGCCUUGUCCCCGGCCUCGUCACACAGCCCCACAACUGCUACCGAAGCUUUGGCCGCAGGCAGCGCGCCCAGCUACCUUCCCUUUCCAAGCUAUUCAUGCCCAGUCCCCUUGUCUGUGCUGGGUCGCUCUGCUUAUGCUCUUGCACCCUUGAUCCCUCUCCAGCCGUCAGCUUCCCUGCCGCAAAGCCUUGACACCAUUCCACCCACGCAUUCCACCCCUGGCUGGCUUUCCCUCCUUGGCCCUAUCCCUUGCCCAUUAUCCAUUUUGCUCGGCCUAUACAUCCCCCCUCCUCGCCCGGCCCCGGCCCUGUCCCCCACCUUGGAGUAGGCCCAGCCCAUGCGGUCACACAGCUGCAGCGUGUUGAAGCCGCCCACCGCGAACAGCUCGCCGCUGGGCGCCCACGCCACCGACGUGACCGGGUAGUCGAACAGCCCGCUCUGGAACAGCAGCCGCCCAAAGCUGUCCCACACCUGCGGCGUGCAUUCGCACGUGUCAGAGACAGCCGCCGCCGCCGCCGCGGCUCAACCAAGAUUCGCCCCUCGCCAUCCAGCCCUUCUCGCUGUGCGACACCACUCCCGCAUUCUCCCUGCCUGCCUGCCCUCCCUCCCUCGGUGUGCCGCGCACGCACACACACACACACACACACACACACGCACACACACACACACACACGCACACACACGCACAUACACACACACACACGCACACACACGCACACACACGCACACACACGCACACACACGCACACACACGCACACACCUUGUACUUGCAGUCCUCGCCGCCUGUGAUGAUGAGGUGGUUGAUGGGGCUCCAGUCCACCUUGAGCACCACGCCGUCGUGCGCCUUCCACGCGUUCUGCUUGGCGUUGGAGGACAGCGACUUGAUGACCACGUUGGAGCCGGUGCAGUAGCACAGCUGGUCGCAGUCGUAGGCCCACACAAUCGAGUACACGGGGCUGUCCGCCUGCGCUAGCGUGGAGCGCAGCAUGCCGUUGCGCGACCAGAUCUUUACCGACCCGUCCUCGCCCGCCGUCGCCAGUGCCGUCCCUGCGGGUCGAGGUGGGCGGUGG
rnacentral:lncRNA from 1 species